GAUGAACGCUGGCGGCGUGCUUAACACAUGCAAGUCGAACGGUGAAGCAGGGGCUUGCUCUUGUGGAUCAGUGGCGAACGGGUGAGUAACACGUGAGCAACCUGCCCCUGACUCUGGGAUAAGCGCUGGAAACGGCGUCUAAUACUGGAUAUGUGAUGUGACCGCAUGGUCUGCAUCUGGAAAGAAUUUCGGUUGGGGAUGGGCUCGCGGCCUAUUAGCUUGGUGGUGAGGUAAUGGCUCACCAAGGCGUCGACGGGUAGCCGGCCUGAGAGGGUGACCGGCCACACUGGGACUGAGACACGGCCCAGACUCCUACGGGAGGCAGCAGUGGGGAAUAUUGCACAAUGGGCGGAAGCCUGAUGCAGCAACGCCGCGUGAGGGAUGACGGCCUUCGGGUUGUAAACCUCUUUUAGCAGGGAAGAAGCGAAAGUGACGGUACCUGCAGAAAAAGCACCGGCUAACUACGUGCCAGCAGCCGCUGUAA
rnacentral:rRNA from 1 species